CGGACUGAGGGAGCUUGCUCCCAAAGUUAGUGGCGGACGGGUGAGUAACGCGUGGGUAACCUGCCCUAUGCAGGGGGAUAACGUUUGGAAACGAACGCUAAUACCGCAUAAUCUAGUUGGUUCGCAUGAACUGACUAGCAAAGAUUUUAUCGGCAUAGGAUGGACCCGCGUUAGAUUAGCUAGUUGGUAGGGUAAAGGCCUACCAAGGCGACGAUGCGUAGCCGACCUGAGAGGGUGAACGGCCACACUGGGACUGAGACACGGCCCAGACUCCUACGGGAGGCAGCAGUAGGGAAUCUUCGGCAAUGGGCGAAAGCCUGACCGAGCAACGCCGCGUGAAUGAUGAAGGCCUUCGGGUUGUAAAAUUCUGUUAUAAGGGAAGAACGACUUUAGUAGGAAAUGGCUAGAGUGUGACGGUACCUUAUGAGAAAGCCACGGCUAACUACGUGCCAGCAGCCGUGGUAAUACGUAGGUGGCGAGCGUUAUCCGGAAUUAUUGGGCGUAAAGAGCGCGCAGGUGGUUGAUUAAGUCUGAUGUGAAAGCCCACGGCUUAACCGUGGAGGGUCAUUGGAAACUGGUCGACUUGAGUGCAGAAGAGGGAAGUGGAAUUCCAUGUGUAGCGGUGAAAUGCGUAGAGAUAUGGAGGAACACCAGUGGCGAAGGCGGCUUCCUGGUCUGUAACUGACACCGAGGCGCGAAAGCGUGGGGAGCAAACAGGAUUAGAUACCCUGGUAGUCCACGCCGUAAACGAUGAGUGCUAAGUGUUGGGGGUCGAACCUCAGUGCUGAAGUUAACGCAUUA
rnacentral:rRNA from 1 species